GAUCUAAUACCACCCUUGCUUCACUCUUGCUUCACCUCCCAGACCUUGAAAUUCUAUUCAUAUCUGAUCUCAGCCUCCCAGCACCAGCACCUAUAUAUUCUAUUAUUGCUGUAAUGGCUGGAAGGUUCUGGCUGACUGUCUUCUGUACCUGCACAGAGAAGGGUAGGUAGUAACUUCAGCCCAGACCAGAGUUAAAAGACGCUGGCCUUGUGGUGGAAGAAAGUUGGGAUUCUCUAUUUUCUUUUAGCCCAGAUUUUAAAAAUAUGAACAUUAAAGAGUUUCUGGCCAGGCGUAGUGGCUCACACCUGUAAUCCCAGCACUUUGGGAAGCCGAGGCGGGUGGAUCACCUGAGGUCAGGAGUUCAAGACUAGCCUGGCCAAAUGAGGAAACACCGUCUCUACUAAAAAUACAAAAAUUAGUGGGGCGUGGUGGUGGGCACCUGUAAUCCCAGCUACUUGGGAGGCUGAGGUAGGGAGAAUCACCUGAACCUGGGAGGUGGAGGUUGCAGGGAGCCAAGAUCGUGCCAUUGCACUCCAGCAUGGGCAACAGAGUGAGACUCCAUCUCAAAAAAAAAAAAAAAAAGAGUUUCCAUUCUCCCUCUUAAAUUCAGGUUCCUCAUCUGUAAAGUGAGUGAGGAGGACCAGGCAUCUGAACUCCACUCCAGUCCUUGAUUUAGUAUCUAUUCCAGGUACAGAGAAUAAUACAGUGUUACGGGCUGAAUCAUGUCACCCUAAAAUUAAUUUGUUAAAGCCCUUGCUGCCAGUACCUCAAGGUGUGAUAUUAUUUGGAUAUGAGCAUUACCAGCAUGAGGUCACGUGGGUGGGCUCUAAUCCAGUUUGACCAGUAUCCUUAUAAGAAGAAGAAAUCUGUAUACAAAAAGAGAAACACCAGUGAUGCAUGCACACAGAGGAAAGACCGUGUGAGGACAUGUGAGGCAGCAGCCAUCGCAGGCCAAGGAGAGGGGCCUCAGGAGAAACAACUCUGCUCACACCUUCAUCUUAAAGUUCCAGCCUCCAGAACUGGGAAAAAAUUAAUUUCUGUUUUUUAAGCUACCUAGUCUGUGACAGCAGCCCUAGCCGACUAUAUGGUAACAGAUCAAUUGUUAAAAACUUAAAGUGUCUAGGAAAAGGACUUCCUCAACAGGAAGCCACAAAAUGCUCUCUGGUUAUUUUGAUGUUCAGCCAAUUCACCCAAAGCUCUGUGCCAUGACUAAUAAGAUGCAAUUUAAUAUAACAAACACUGAUCGAAUGCCAGUCACAAUGAGAGGCACUGGCAAACACAUCUAAUUCUCCAAGGUCAUGAGGAUUCAGACAGGGGGAAGAAAGAACAGGUUCUUCAAAAAUCUCACUUAAGCCAAAUAAACAAAACCUCUCCCUCUUUUCCAUGUGACCUGAGUCUCAAAUAACUGAUGGAUUCACCCCCAUCAGGACUGCCUCAGUCUCUCCCAGAGGUGAGACAAUCAAGCGUGACAAGGAAGAAAAGUAAAGUAUAGAAAUCCACAUGUGUGGACUGGCCAUUCUUACAGAGGAGAAGCUGUGGCUGUUCAAUGUGAGAAAUUCUCCAACUCAAAAGGAGACAACUGAGAAAGGAACAAGAACCAUAAAAACUUUCCAGAGUUUGUCAUCAGAACAACCUCCUUCACUAGGGCCAUAAUCAGCAGAAUGGAAAAGAACAGGUGGCACAACACUUAGAUAAUAUUCUUGGAUAUGCUCAGAAAAGUAGGGAGAUGGGAAAACUCAAACCUAAGC
rnacentral:lncRNA from 1 species